UCGUAGCGACAACCAAAGAUGUCCUCAGCCAUUGCAGAAUCCCUGGGGGCAAGAUCACUCCCCUCCAGCCAGAUCAAGGACCAGGACUCUGGUGCACACAGCGCCAGACAGGAGGGCGUGCGAGGUGGCUGGUGGACGCAGGCGGCAUACCUGCUACUUGAGCUGCUGGAAGAGAGACAGAGACCCGGCUUGUCACGUGCUCACUGGCGGCACCUGAUGAACAGAGAGAAAGCCGCGUGGGUGUCACGGGUGGCACUGAAUCCCCCACUGAGGAAGGAGACACCCAUGUCCUAAGGUCCCGAGCCUGUGAAGGCCAUUAUUUGGAAACAGGGUCUUUGCAGAGGUGAUCUAGUUAAAUGAGGUCACCCUGGGUCAGGGUGGGCCCAAAUUCUGUGUAACUGGGGCCCUUAUUGGACACACACGAUCCCACGAGGAGCCCGCAGCACCGGCCACAGCCGUGUCGCCGUAGCCAAGGACGCGCGGGCUCAGAGCUGCGAGGAAGCGCCUUCCUCAGAACCAUCAGGGGGAGCACCCCCUGCCCCUCUGGGCGACCAGGGCUUCCUGGGCUGUGAGAGGACAUUUCUAUUGUUUUCAGCCACAAAUCGAACAUGGGUACCCGGUGACCUGCUGCUGAGUGGCGGCCACCCCUUGGGUCGCUGGGUCAAUCGCACGUGCAGGAAGCGGCCGUGAUGUGUGUCAGAGGGCUGAGUGUGGCACUCUGCGGAGCACAGGCUCUGCUGCAGAGGGGUGACGCUGGGGCCAGGCGCAGGGGGCUUCUGGUCAUGCCAGAGUGCUAAUGGUGUGAGAGCCAGCUGGCGUUGGAGCCCAGCCCCUGGGCUGCGCAGCCCCCAGGUCUCCCCCACCGUGCUCUCCUCCAGCCCCAGCUCGGGGCUUACCUCCAUCUGGUGCCGUGACCUUUGCCACAUCCCAGGACUCAGCUUGUCCCACUGACAAGUCAGGGUGCUGGCUCUGAUGUCCUGAGGCCCUCCCAGCCCUGAGACCCUGAUUAGGCAAAGCUGGUUGAGAUGACUGCACCGUGAGCCAUUGUCAUGCAGGAACAGGGGAGCCAAGGUGCCUGGAGAUAAAACAAAGGACUAAGUAGCUGGCAUCAGACUCGGGUAUUAUACUUAGAGCAACUAUUUAAAAACCAAAGUACUUUUCCCUGUAGCGUUCCUCAGAAUUGCCCUGGGAAACCGUGUUUGACUUGAACAAAGGGUUUGUAUCGACAGGACAUGUUAUCGUUCAAUUUCUAGGAAAGGGCGGUAAUUAGAUGCCUCAUUCCAGAUAUUGUUUCAAUUACAGCAGAAAAAAAUACAUGAAUCCUGCACAGAGGCAAAUACCUGCUUCUCAUUACCGAGGAGGCGCGCUUCCCGACUUUGGAGGACUCACAGGAAGCCCCCGCGGCCUUGGGCUAGGGCCACCCUUGCCCUCCGCCAGGAGGGGGCCUGUGUGCGAGGGUCCUGGGGUGAAGUCCGGGCAUUUGAAAACGUGAAGCUGGUGUCCAGGAGGGGGCGCCCUUCCCAGGCCCCACCCAUGGGUGGCGGAGGCAGACAGAAGUUCCUCUACCACGUCCCCAAGAGGCUCAGGUGUCACCCUCUCCCCCCCAGGGAACGGGGACACAGGACCUGCUGGCCCCACAAGGGGUGGUCCCACAGCACUCCUCCUCCUGCCCUGGCCAUGCCGGGAGGUCGCUGUGGGACUCGGGAGGGAAAGUACUGUGCACCUGCCCCAGCCAGCAAUGGCCAAGCUCCUGCUCCGGGACACAGGUGGCUGGGCCCAGCUGCCAGUGCCACUUUGUGCUUGGGGAGGAGGACACCCAGCUGGGCAGGAGGGGACAUGGCAGGACGGGACGGGGACGAGUUUGCUUGUGCUCCUUUUCUGGGCACCCCUGCACCUAGGGCACUGCUGGACCCCUCCUGCUCAAGAUGGCCCCAGGGUCAACCCCAAGGGCACAGGCAGCUUCCUCUGGUGGAAGCCACUCUCCUUCAGAGGCCCCAGUCGCCUGCCCAGGUCACUCUCCAUGGGCCUCCAUGUCCACCCUGCAUCCCUAGUGGUCUGGGUGGGCCUUAGGGCCCUGGCUCUGGCAGAGCCUGCAGUGUGGGGAGGUGGGCAUUGCUCUCCUGGCCCCCGCCCUGCCAGCCCAGGUGCUGACAGGGCCUCCUCCGUCUCUGAAGGCCACAGCCCUGUCCAGCAGACUCUAGCCUUGCUCCAGGCCCUCAGGCCCAAGAGGUCCUGGCUGCACUGCUGCGGCCCUGUGGGCCCCUCUCUGCAGAAGCCUCACGGCCUCUCCCAGGAAGCACGCCCAGGGUGGCGUCCACCCCUGCUCACUCAGCAAACUCCACCCUGAGGGCAUGGGGUGGGGGCCCACGAAGGGCCCUCCAGGGUGGAAACCCGGCCCAGCUUUGGCGCCCCCUCUCACGGCAGCUGUGUGCACUGAACUGAGGGCCUGUGUCCAGACCUCAGGCCACGAUGCCUGCGUCCGUCCCAGAGGCAUGGAGGAGGUGACUCCCUGACCACCUGUACCGCCCCCAGCUGCCCUUCUGCUCAGCUGAUUAUGAAUCCUGCAGCAGGAGACUGCCGCGGGGGAGCCUCCCACCUGACUGGCCUGCUCACGGGGCAGUGCUGAGCACGUGCUGGUUAAAUAGACAGUAAAUGGAAGGCUGCUCCCCUGGGGUGGGCCGCAGGGAGGUGGGGGGCUGCAGGCGCAUCUCUGCAUCUGUGCCCAACUCCGUGUGGCAUUUCCGCUCACGGCUGAGCCUUGGUGGCUGCCCACAGGCCCCUGUCAUGUCACUCUCUGGCCAAGUCUGGACCUGCCCUGGAAGCUCCUGAGGAAGCCACAGAGACAGGGGCACCCUGGGGGCUGCCCACAAGUAGGACCCUCCCAAGCAGCAGCCCCCGAAGGCAGACACGGGCCUAGGUGACAGGACCAGUGGCAGCUUGUGGCUUCUCUGUCUUCCCCUCCAUCUCCCAGGCCAACCUGGCCAGUGCGCCUCCCCAUCAGGUCUCCGUGGGUCCCCCAGUGAGGAGCGCUAAUGUGAGGCCUGGGGUGGACGGCUCCUGGGCCAAGGGUGGGAAGGUGAGUGGUGCGAUCCCUGGUGUCCCCUGCUCUGAGCAAAGGGUCCCAGGGCACAUUCUGUGUUUAGCUGGGAGAUGAGCAGAGUCAGAGACCAGCUAGGCAGAGAUGCGAAGCCAGACCAGGGAGAAGGACAGGGUAGCACAUGGCAAGAGCCCUUUUAAAAGGUUCCAAUGGGCAGGGCUGAGUGGACUGCACACACAGGGGACGUGGCUCUGGAGGGUGCCCAGUGCAGGCACAGCAGGGGCCAAGGGCCGUGUUCCCUGCUUGGAAUGUGGAAGGGAGGCAGGGUGGACGGCGUCCAGGCCAGCGCUGGAGGCUGGUCCCUGUGAGGGGCCAGCCUUGGUGGGGGUUCACCCAGUGUCAAAGCCAGGUAUGGCAGGAACUGAUUCUGCCUGGUCACUAUCCAGCCCAGGACCCUCGGGCCGCUCAGUCUCAACGUCUCCAGAGAGAUUCCUCGGGAUGGGGUGUACCCAUGCGGGCUUUGGAGAGCCCAGGCCCUUGUCUCAUUAUGCCAUUAGAAGUGGGUAUCCAUGGAAACCAUGUAGUCGGGCACUCGACAGAGAAUACUUAUUCAAUUAGAGGGGCCUGGGGUGCCAGGGAGACCUUGGCUCUGGGCCUGAUUACAGCAGGACCUCUGGGGGGACCCAUGCUAGCCUGGACCUCCUGACCUGAUAGCCCUUCAAGGUUGCCCGCUGAGCUGGUCCCUGCUGACCUGUGCUGUGGGGCUGAGGACCGGGAAGGGCAGCCAGAGUGGAACAUGGACCAGCAGGGGGGCUGGGGCGUGGGGCAGGUCACUGAGACUCUCCUGCCCCCCAGGCUGGUCCACCUGUGAUGGGGAAGCUGGAGGCCUGUGGGGCUGCCAAGCCUGGCGCACAGUAGGCGCCCCACAGGGAGCCCUCUAGUUGGAAAGACCUCGUGAGCCGAGGACGGUCCCGGCAGCACAGGGUGAGGGCGUGUUCCUGUCCAAGCUGCAUCAGGUGGCGGCUGCCUCAUGACUUGAAGCCCUCACUGUGCACACCGCCUGCUCACCUGUGCCGCCCUCGGACGGGCAUGCCUGUGGGUGCCCGGCCUAGUGGGGGGUGGGGUGCAGUAUUUCAAAACCUCAGGCUGGCCAGGGUCCGCUGUGUGCGGGGCGGGACUCCUGCCCAGGGCCUUGCUGUGCCACGGCUGUAGGCCUGCCUGUCUGGUUUCAUCAAAUGCGCGUGCUUGAGUGUGAAUCUGUGUGUGUGUGUGUGUGUGUGUGUGUGUGUGUGGAGGGCACCCUCGAGCCCUGUCUGAGCUUCGGAGGGGACAGUGUCAGGAGCAGUUACCCAGACUAGGUCAGGGGCCUUUGUGAUGGCACCGGGUGGCUCCCCUUCCAGCUGCACCCCAUUUCCGGGAAUGAGGCUCCCUGCCUGGGAUGUGUGCUUGACACUUGCUCCUGGGAACGCCUGGUGCAAAACGUCCCCUUCAAAUCCGGUCUUAAGUAGGAAGUGCUCCUGGGGGCCCGGAGAAGGCCACCAACAUGUCCAGACUCAGCUGCUGCGGAGGAGGAGGACCUGGGCUGCCUGGGAGCAGGACCUGCUUCAGCGUGGGAGAGGCAUCAGGCCCGUCCCAUGCCAGCCGGCCCGGCCUCCUCAUCGCCGUGGCUCAGGACAGAGGCGAACGGCCCGGAAAAGCUCCCUGUGCAGACUCUCCGGAGAAGAUGAGGUGAGAAGAGCACCUCCCACACUGGGCACCCCAGCUGCCCUCUUGAGAGGUGGUCAAGGGCAGCGACUGGCCUCAAGAUGCACACGGCCACAAAGCACAGAAUGGGUUCCACCAGGGGGCACAAGACAGGCAUCUCCCCGGCACCUCCCACCCGAAUCUCUGCUCAGGAGUUGACAGGUGCCUACCUCGCCUCCUGCCCCACCUCAAGCACCAGGGGUGCAGCCUGCCGUGCUGGGGACCCUGUGACGGGAAACAGGUCGGAUGCCCUCGGGACGUGCUUGUCUUGUGGGGUGAAUGGAGUUUCAGGAAAGUGAAGUCACAUCUGUGUUUGGUGGCCGGGAAAGGAAGGGCGCGUCUCAGACUGCAAAGCCACUUUCCAGAGGCUUACAGACCAUCGUCACAGACAGCUGAGACGCAGGGACAGAGGGGGCAGAGUCCUGCUCUUCGUAAGGGGCUCACAGCACCUGGGGCACUCCCCACAGAAGUCCUCUCCCUCAGUGUGGGGGCCCCAGGACAUGCCUUGCUGACCCCCAUGCGCCUCCUGCCCUGGGGACACGAACCAGCACAAUGAUUGGAUUCCAGGUGGGGGAGUGAAUGGGGAGCCCCGGGGGCCACACUGGGGACGGGAAGCACUCCUCUCAGGAGCCAACAGGGGCACCAGUGUGCCUCCUCCCUGGGGAGUUGUCCCUGCAGAGUCCAAGGCUGGUCUGCAAGUCCCUAGCCUUCAGGAGUAAGCACUGCUGCCAACCUAACCUGACAGCUCCGAGACACAGAGGUCACUGAACACCAGGACGCGGCCCUCGAGGGCCCAGAGUGACCAACACAACCUGCUAUGAAGCAGCCACAGAUGUGCUAAAGCAGAACCAGCAAGACCUGUGGAGGGGCAUCCGUGAUGGAUGGAUAGAGACCAAGAGGGUGGAGCAGAAGACCAGAGGGGGAAGGGAAGGAGGAGCUGACCAUGUCCAUCCGUCAUUCUGUCCUUUGCCUCAGGAAGACCAGGCUCUGGAGGCCAGGGGAAGUUGUUUCUCCCACUCUUCCAAAGAGGCUUGCAAGGCUGGGUCAACCUGGGCCUUUCCUCCUUGCUUCCCAGGUCAGAGCCCGAGGCCUCCCACCUCCACCUGGCCCUGGGUCCCACCCUCCCUCCUGGAACCGGGAGCAUUCUCCCAUCCUGCCUUCCCUGUGGAAAGACCCUGGGCCCGUGGCCCACCCUCCCUCUCUGUACCCAUCCGGAAGGCCAGUGCCCAGGCCCCUGUGCUGGGAAGCUACAGGGCAGCCCCAGGACAAGCUGCCACCAAGUCUGCUGCCAGCCCGCCCGGUGACCUGGGGCAGGUGCUUCCGUGUCUCCGCCCCCCACAAGAACGAUGCCACGUGGCAGUGUUGUGAGGACCUCACCAAUGGCACAUUGGGCCUGAGGACCCAUGAGUCCUGCCCCUCCCCCAGCUCCGGCCCCUGGAGACCCAGAGCUCUCUGCUUCCCGGGUCCCGAGCACCUAGCAUGGUGCCCAGCAUACCGCAGGUCGCAUGGAUUGCUUGUUCAAUGAAUGUUCUAGAACAGGAGUGGGCAACCUGUGGCAGCACGGGGCUGCUGCUGGAGCUUGAGUAAGGGUUUAUUGGACACAGCAGUGCAUAUGACCUACUGCCUGGCCUCUGGCUGUCCUCCUGGGACGGGGUGGAGCUGAGCGGCUACAACGGGGACCCACGGAUCACCACACUGAGCACAUGACUGCCUGGGCCAGGUGCGAGAUGAGGCGGCAUCAGUGGGGGUGACAGGGGACAUCUGCUUCCCUGUUUGCCGCUCGGCAACAGCUAGAGCAGGUCUGUGUCUCAGUUUCCCUGUCUGUUCAAAGAUGGGGCCGGAUCAAUAGUCCCUAAUUUUCCUCCUGGGUUUAAAUCAACAGCAACUACUUAAGCGGGAUUUUGUUGAAUUCUACAUGAUUCACAAGGAAUGAUGUAAGGAAAGAAAGUAACUUCAGGAGGACACGGGAGGCCGGAGCCCAUGCACACCCCUGCAGAGCAUCCAACGGCUCAGGCCACGUGGAGAGCACGCUGAGCUUCCUCAAGAAAGUCAAAAGGAGUGGGUCUGACGACCCCUUCGCAGCCUGGCAGUCUCAGGAAGGCAUUUACGGAGCGUGGAUUCUGCCCAUUGUCCGCCCUCUGAACUGCUGUGGAGCUCCCACAGGCCGGGGCGGCUGCUCAGCACCCGCACAUGGGUGUGUCGUCACCGCAGAUCAUCCCCACAGCUGGCCCUGUGCCUCCCAGGGUUCUGGAGGGGCACAGUGGGACAUGUGCUGGCUGCCCUACGAGAUUCUGCGGACAGCAGAGGUUUGCCGGCACCAGGUCUGCUCCACGCCGUGUGGACCCCAGGGCUUUUGUUGAUUUUAAAAAACAUUUUGUUUAGGAAUAUCUUCAAGCUAUGGAAAGCUACGAAAAUAAACACCAGACACCUUUUACUUAUA